rnacentral:SRP_RNA from 1 species
GAGAGGCUGGCGCGGGCAAGCGCCUCGCCAACCCGGUCAGGUCCGGAAGGAAGCAGCCGCAACGAGACUCGUUUGGGUCGCGUUUCAGUCUCUCACC